GGGAGCCCAGAUGAGCUGUUUGCAGCAUCUCUGCUCCAUGUUUUGAGUAGGUAGGGCCGAGCAAGGCAGUGUCAUUUCGAGGCCCCAGGCAGAAGCCUCCAAGGAUACCACACAUACCUACUCCAGCCCCAGAUGGAGCCACAGGGUUGGGUCUCCAGCUCCCAGCAGCUGUCAGCUACCAUCAGCUGUACCCAGGAAACCUGCAUGACGCCUGACUCAGGCUGGUGCCACCCGGAGCCCAAUUGAGGCAGAUUCUGCAGUUUCACAUCCUAGGAUUCUACCCCAACAUUGUGCAGCGGGUCUCUCCCCGCCUGUCGGCAGGCCGGCCUCGCUGGGAACACCCACAAAUCAAAACGGAACAAAAUAAAAUAAAACGGCACGAGGUUCUC